rnacentral:rRNA from 1 species
AUUGAACGCUGGCGGCAGGCCUAACACAUGCAAGUCGAGCGGGGUUUUCGGACCUAGCGGCGGACGGGUGAGUAAUGCGUAGGAAGCUGCCCGAUAGAGGGGGAUACCAGUUGGAAACGACUGUUAAUACCGCAUAAUGUCUACGGACCAAAGUGUGGGACCUUCGGGCCACAUGCUAUCGGAUGCGCCUACGUGGGAUUAGCUAGUUGGUGAGGUAAUGGCUCACCAAGGCGACGAUCGCUAGCUGGUUUGAGAGGAUGAUCAGCCACACUGGAACUGGGACACGGUCCGGACUCCUACGGGAGGCAGCAGUGGGGAAUAUUGGACAAUGGGCGCAAGCCUGAUCCAGCCAUGCCGCGUGUGUGAAGAAGGCCUUCGGGUUGUAAAGCACUUUCAGCGGGGAGGAAGGGGUAGUAGUUAAUAGCUGCUACUUUUGACGUUACUCGCAGAAGAAGCACCGGCUAACUCUGUGCCAGCAGCCGCCGUAACAC